rnacentral:rRNA from 1 species
GCCGCGUGUAUGAAGAAGGCCUUCGGGUUGUAAAGUACUUUCAGCGGGGAGGAAGGUGUUGAGGUUAAUAACCUCAGCAAUUGACGUUACCCGCAGAAGAAGCACCGGCUAACUCCGUGCCAGCAGCCGCGGUAAUACGGAGGGUGCAAGCGUUAAUCGGAAUUACUGGGCGUAAAGCGCACGCAGGCGGUCUGUCAAGUCGGAUGUGAAAUCCCCGGGCUCAACCUGGGAACUGCAUUCGAAACUGGCAGGCUAGAGUCUUGUAGAGGGGGGUAGAAUUCCAGGUGUAGCGGUGAAAUGCGUAGAGAUCUGGAGGAAUACCGGUGGCGAAGGCGGCCCCCUGGACAAAGACUGACGCUCAGGUGCGAAAGCGUGGGGAGCAAACAGGAUUA